rnacentral:misc_RNA from 1 species
AACGAGGCCGACCUGCGGCUGAGUUACCUGCGGAAGGAUCAUUACAGAGUUGCAAAACUCCCUAAACCAUUGUGAACGUUACCUAAACCGUUGCUUCGGCGGGCGGCCCGGGUCCUUCCCGGCGCCCAUCGGCCCUCGCGGGCGCCCGCCGGAGGUAAACCAAACUAUUGCAUUGUAUGGCCUCUCUGAGUCUUCUGUACUGAAUAAGUCAAAACUUUUAACAACGGAUCUCAGAUCGGA